CGAUGAACCUCUGAUCCUUCUGUAAGUCAUUCCAUGACCAUGGAGCUGCAAAUCUGAAUGAUUUUUUUCCAAGAUUUGUGGUGGUUCUAGGAACAAACAUACUAAGUAAGACCUGCGACCUUGAGCAGUCACGACUGGAGUCUAAAAGAUCACAACUAAGGGGGGAACCAGACCAGGAACGAUGAACCAUCCGAUCAUUCUGAACAAACAUACCAAGUAAGACCUGCGACCUUGAGCUGUCGCGACUGGAGUCUAAAAGAUCACAACUAAGGGGGAACCAGACCAGAAACGAUGAACCUCUGAUCCUUCUGUAAGUCAUUUCAUGAUCAUGGAGCUGCAAAUCUGAAUGAUUUUUUUUUCCAAGAAUUGUGGUGGUUCUAGGAACAAACAUACUAAGUAAGACCUGUGACCUUGAGCUGUCACGACUGGAGUCUAAAAGAUCACAACUAAGGGUGAACCAGACCAGGAACGAUGAACCAUUCGAUCAUUCUGAACAAACAUACCAAGUAAGACCUGCAACCUUGAGCUGUCGCGACUGGAGUCUAAAAGAUCACAACUAAGGGGGAACCAGACCAGAAACGAUGAACCUCUGAUCCUUCUCUAAGUCAUUCCAUGACCAUGGAGCUGCAAAUCUGAAUGAUUUUUUUU